rnacentral:rRNA from 1 species
AGUGAACGCUGGCGGUAGGCCUAACACAUGCAAGUCGAACGGCAGCACAGUAAGAGCUUGCUCUUACGGGUGGCGAGUGGCGGACGGGUGAGGAAUACAUCGGCAUCUACUUUUUCGUGGGGGGUAACGUAGGGAAACAUACGCUAAUACCGCAUACGACCUACGGGUGAAAGCAGAGGAUCUUCGGACCUUGCGCGAUUGAAUGAGCCGAUGUCGGAUUAGCUAGUUGGCGGGGUAAAGGCCCACCAAGGCGACGAUCCGUAGCUGGUCUGAGAGGAUGAUCAGCCACACUGGAACUGAGACACGGUCCAGACUCCUACGGGAGGCAGCAGUGGGGAAUAUUGGACAAUGGGCGCAAGCCUGAUCCAGCCAUACCGCGUGCGGGAAGAAGGCCUUCGGGUUGUAAAGCCCUUUUGUUGGGAAAGAAAAGCAGUAGGUUAAUACCCCGCUGUUCUGACGGUACCCAAAGAAUAAGCACCGGCUAACUUCGUG